rnacentral:tRNA from 1 species
GUUUUAAUAGUUUAAUGUUAAAUAAAACAAUGAUUUUGUAAAUCAUAAAUAGAAAAUAUCUUUAAAACU